AUGACAUCUGUUGGAUAUACAACUACGUGACUAAUCUCGAAGAGCGGUAAACACUUAUUUUGAAUUCUAAAUAUUCGCCAAGGUGAACGUGCAUUGGAGAUGAAUUGAUCAAAUUGGAGGAGCGGGCAAUGGCCGAAACACUAUUUUAUUAACCAAUAUGAUGGACUGCGGCAAAUUAAUAUGAAGUGUGAAGAAUCACCCUUUUCUAUACGAUAAAGAGUAGAGGAGCUAUGGAAAGAAGUUGCGGCGACAAUGAAUACAACAGAAAUGUUUAGUAAUAUUUAUUUUGAGACUCUAUGCUCAGAUUAUUAUAAUUGAUUAUUUGUAAAUGGAAUUUUUAAGGUGAUAUAUCUAAUUUAAACAAUAAUGUUGAUCAAAUAAAUAGAAAAAAACCAUCAUAGAAGAAGUUGAACUAAA